rnacentral:pre_miRNA from 11 species
AGCCGCAUGCGAAGAUCGAUCUUCACAUGCGGCCCUCUUAACAGGACCGCAUGGGAAAAUCUAUUUUCGCAUGCGGCU